rnacentral:rRNA from 1 species
AUUGAACGCUGGCGGCAUGCUUUACACAUGCAAGUCGAACGGUAACAGGGAGCUUGCUCCGCUGACGAGUGGCGAACGGGUGAGUAAUGCGUCGGAACGUGCCGAGUAGUGGGGGAUAACGCAGCGGAAGUUGUGCUAAUACCGCAUACGUACUGAGGUAGAAAGUGGGGGACCUUCGGGCCUCACGCUAUUCGAGCGGCCGACGUCUGAUUAGCUAGUAGGUGAGGUAAAGGCUCACCUAGGCGACGAUCAGUAGCGGGUCUGAGAGGAUGAUCCGCCACACUGGGACUGAGACACGGCCCAGACUCCUACGGGAGGCAGCAGUGGGGAAUUUUGGACAAUGGGCGAAAGCCUGAUCCAGCCAUGCCGCGUGUCUGAAGAAGGCCUUCGGGUUGUAAAGGACUUUUGUCGGGGAGGAAAUCCCCAGCGCUAAUACCGCUGGGGGGUGACAGUACCCGAAGAAUAAGCACCGGCUAACUACGUGCCAGCAGCCGCGGUAAGAC